UCCAGGGUAGCCUAGUGGACAUGGCAUCUGCCCGGUAAUCGGAACACUGUGGGUUCGAUUCCCAUCCCUGGAC
rnacentral:tRNA from 1 species